GUGACUCAAUGUGGAUUGUGAAGACACAGAAGGGGCGCAUUUGGAUCUUGAAUCAUGAAUGUUGAAUCUUGAUGCUCACAGAAAAGGAAGUCAACCAGACAGGCUCUGAAAAUUGAUGAAAUGGAACAAUUAUUUGGACAAGACACUAGAAAAUUCUACUCGGUCGGUUUUGUAAUCAUACCUCAAGAUACUUGCGAGAUCUUCGUCUGCACUGCACUAGCAUUUCAGGGUUUAUUGGAGGCGAACGACAUCCACAACAAUGGGAUAGCGGGGU